rnacentral:lncRNA from 1 species
AUAUUCCCCUUUUACCCUCGAUAAAGACAGAUCGUGUCUGGUCGCAGAGCAGCGGAGAGACGCCGGCGCGCCACCGGCGGCGGUCGCCUGGGCUUGCCGUUCUGCCGAUGAGCCCAGGUCUGAAUUCCAGAUGCAAAUCUGGUUGCCGGGCUGAUGCCCCACCGACGGUCGCCGAGGGUGGCCGAGGGUUGCCUAGGGUCUGGGUUAGCUCGUGUGGAUCGACGAAUGCGGGGCUAAAUCGCCUAGGGUCUGGGUUUGCCACGUUCUCUCUCUGCUGUGUCUCCAUUUACUUGCUUCGCGAGGAUGGCGAU